rnacentral:tRNA from 1 species
UAGCUCAGUUGGUUAGAGCGCUACACUGAUAAUGUAGAGGUCGGCAGUUCAAAUCU